AUUGAACGCUGGCGGCAGGCCUAACACAUGCAAGUCGAACGGUAACAGGAAGCAGCUUGCUGCUUUGCUGACGAGUGGCGGACGGGUGAGUAAUGUCUGGGAAACUGCCCGAUGGAGGGGGAUAACUACUGGAAACGGUAGCUAAUACCGCAUAACGUCGCAAGACCAAAGAGGGGGACCUUAGGGCCUCUUGCCAUCGGAUGUGCCCAGAUGGGAUUAGCUAGUAGGUGGGGUAACGGCUCACCUAGGCGACGAUCCCUAGCUGGUCUGAGAGGAUGACCAGCCACACUGGAACUGAGACACGGUCCAGACUCCUACGGGAGGCAGCAGUGGGGAAUAUUGCACAAUGGGCGCAAGCCUGAUGCAGCCAUGCCGCGUGUAUGAAGAAGGCCUUCGGGUUGUAAAGUACUUUCAGCUGGGAGGAAGGGAGUAAAGUUAAUACCUUUGCUCAUUGACGUUACCCGCAGAAGAAGCACCGGCUAACUCCGUG
rnacentral:rRNA from 1 species